CUUGUGCAUAGUCCAGCCCAAUUUCCACAGCUGAACCUGAUACCCUCCCCAUGCUUGAAAACUCCAAGCCGCCGGCGCCGGCCGCCUCUCUGGUCCCUCCUAGACACCUCCGUCCCGUCGUCCCAACCCCGCCUCUCACCAAACCAUUCCUCCUUGAUGUCCUCGUCUCAAUCUCUCAUCCUCCUCCUCACCUCCCCUCUCCCCCCGCCUCCUCGUGUCGUCGCCGCCAUCCCACCAUCCUCGCGCCCCACCACCGCUAGCCGCUUCCGCCACCUCCCGCGCCUCACCGCCAAUCUCUGCCUUCCGCCACUCGCGACCUCCGCUUCCGGCGGAUUCGGAGAUGGCAAUUUCCCCGGUGGGGAUGGGGGUGGCGGAGGAGGAGGAGGAGGGGGUUGGUGGCAAGGCGGGAGAGGAGACCCCCCCGACAAGCCCGGAGACGGGUGGCGACGGUGGCUUCAGUCCCUCCACCCCGAGCUCUUCCUCCUGUUCUUGCUCCUCCAGUCGGACGCCUUCGCUUCCAUCCCAUCCGCCCUCGCCGAUGCCCUGGGAGCAACCGGCGGCGACGGCGGUAGCGUUUGGGAGGUGAGGGGUAGUGCGCGUACGCUGCUCGUACCCAACCCGACCGGAACCUCAUACCUCGUUGCGGGAGACGAUAAGCGGAAGCAAGAAGAGGGUAUGGAAAAGACGGGGGCUGGCCCUGCUAAUUUGGCCGCACUGCGGAGGCAACUCGAACGGUCAUGGCGGCGGUGCACUGAUGUUGCUCUUCAGUUGCUGCUGCCUGAUGGAUACCCGCACAGCGUGAGCAGCGACUAUCUGCACUACUCGCUGUGGCGGGGCGUGCAAGGUGUUGCUAGCCAGAUCAGCGGCGUGCUCUCUACGCAGGCGUUGCUGUACGCAGUUGGUUUGGGUAAAGGAGCGAUCCCGACGGCCGCCGCAGUGAAUUGGGUGCUGAAAGAUGGGCUUGGUUACUUGAGCAAGAUACUCUUGUCGAAAUUUGGGCGACAUUUUGAUGUGAACCCGAAGGGAUGGCGGCUGUUUGCAGAUCUUCUGGAGAACACAGCUUAUGGGCUGGAGAUUUUGACUCCGGUAUUUCCUCACCUGUUUGUUCCCAUUGGUGCAGCCGCUGGAGCUGGCCGAUCGGCAGCUGCUCUAAUACAGGCUGCCACAAGAAGUUGUUUCUUUGCUGGCUUUGCUGUCCAGAGAAACUUUGCUGAGGUCAUUGCAAAGGGUGAAGCGCAGGGAAUGGUUAGCAAGUUUGUUGGCAUAAUGCUUGGCAUAGCGUUAGCUAACCAAAUUGGCUCAUCAGUACCACUGGCUCUUAUUUCAUUUGCUGGUGUUACUGUAGUUCACAUGUAUUGCAACCUUAAGUCUUAUCAAUCAAUUCAGCUGAGGACGCUGAAUCCUUACUGUGCAAGUUUGGUAUUUAGUGAAUAUUUAUUAAGUGGACAAGUUCCUUCAGUCAAAGAGGUUAACGACAAGGAGCCACUUUUUCCGAAUUUAUCCAUGGGUGCUCAAGUUAAACAAAGUGAGAUUUUGUCAGCAGAAGCAAAAGAUGCUGCAGAUACAAUCUAUCGACGGUUACAAUUGGGUUCUAAGCUUAGUGAAAUAAUUGAGAACAAGGAAGAUGCAUAUGCACUGUUUGAUUUGUACAAAAAUGAGCAAUACCUUCUUACGGAUUACAAGGGGAAAUUUUGUGUUGUUCUUAAAGAGGGAUCUUCCCCAGAAGACAUGCUGAAAUCUCUAUUCCAUGUUAACUAUCUGUACUGGUUAGAGAAAUAUAUGGGUUUCAAACCAUUCAAUGUUGCCUCCGAGUGUAGACCAGGUGGAAGGCUUGAAGCAUCACUGGAUUAUGUUCAGAGGGAGUUUACACAUGUCAAGCAUGAUGGUUCAAAUGGUGGCUGGGUGAUGGAUGGUCUGAUUGCUAGACCCUUGCCUGUAAGAAUACGUGUUGGCGAUGUUCCUUGAUAGGAAUCCUCGACUCAUUUUGCCCACAGCUACGCUUAUUAGAAUUGUACAGCCUCUUAUUCUUUGAUAAAUUUAGGGACACAAGGUUAUCUCAAAGCCGAUUGGUUCUUCCAUUGUAUGGGGCAAGUUCAUGAACUAGCAGUCGUCAGUCUGAGUGGCCAAAAUAAGCUGCAAAGUUCAUUAUCUGGUUGUUAUCAUAAGGCUGUAGCUGGUAUAUCUUUGGUCUUAUUUCUUCCGAGAUUUUUGUUCUCCUUUUGUUAUUUGUUGACUUUUGAAGCUUGUAGUGGCUGGUCAGAAAAAUAAGAACACUUCUCUGGCAAUUAUAGAGAUUAAGACUGUUAAUAGAGGAUUGUGCUUGAGACAGAUCCUAGUGGUAGUUGGCUAGUUGUGAAUAAUAAAGCAUGCAUCACAUCCUUGUUGUUAUUUUCUCUUGGCAUUGGUUGUGUCACUCCUUGAUGCAAAGCUUACUCUGGGAUUUCAAAGUAUGCCGGAGGCUGCCUUAGUUUUUAUAUACAAAUACAGAAUCUGAGUCGAGAAUCUAUUCAAUUUUGCUCAGACCUGUUGUAUUCCCUUUUUCCGAAUAUAAUGUAUAUGCUGAAUAUUGCUUUUCUG
rnacentral:rRNA from 1 species